rnacentral:rRNA from 1 species
CGCUAUGACUCCUACGGGAGGCAGCAGUGGGGAAUAUUGGACAAUGGGCAAAGCCUGAUCCAGCCAUGCCGCGUGUGUGAAGAAGGUCUUCGGAUUGUAAAGCACUUUAAGUUGGGAGGAAGGGCAGUUACCUAAUACGUGAUUGUUUUGACGUUACCGACAGAAUAAGCACCGGCUAACUCUGUGCCAGCAGCCGCGGUAAUACAGAGGGUGCAAGCGUUAAUCGGAAUUACUGGGCGUAAAGCGCGCGUAGGUGGUUAGUUAAGUUGGAUGUGAAAUCCCCCGGGCUCAACCUGGGAACUGCAUUCAAAACUGACUGACUAGAGUAUGGUAGAGGGUGGUGGAAUUUCCUGUGUAGCGGUGAAAUGCGUAGAUAUAGGAAGGAACACCAGUGGCGAAGGCGACCACCUGGACUGAUACUGACGCUCAGACUGCGAAAGCGUGGGGAGCCAAACAGGAUUAGACUACCCUGGUAG